rnacentral:lncRNA from 1 species
UGGGGUUCAUUAUAAUCUUAAAAUUAAUAAGAUGCAGCAUAUAAUGAUCAAAAAUACUAGUUUUAUUGAUAAUAUUAAUGUCAAUUAUAUGAGUUUGGAAGAUAAAUUAUAAUAAACAUCCUAUUGUUAGAUUUGUGCUCUAGAAAUUAAUUGUUGGCUGACACAUUAUGUAUUUUCAAGACCUAAAUUUGUACUUGUAACACUUUCAUUAUAAAUAAAGAAUUUUUUCUUUCCAAUCAUACUUAUGUAUCCAUGAUUUAUUCUAAAAAUUGAUAAAGAUAAUUUUUGUAUAUUCUUAAAGAGUUAAAAAUUUGAGACAUACAUUAAUUAGUGAUUAAUUUCUAAAUGCUUCCAAUCAAGGGAUCAUCACGGAAGAUAGAGAUCAAUCCAUUUGAGAUCGAUGCAUGGUUCACCUCUCUUGUGGGUAGAUAAGUCUUGGGUCUGCAGUGUAGAGACACUAGGAUGAAGGUCCAGGUGGUUGUUAGAGAAUAACUUACACCGAGCGUGACCAAUACGAGAACCACAUAGAUGUCUACUCACUCGUCAGUGGUCUUCUCGAUGCUGCAGUGGUAUGAGUGAUCCUUUGACCUAUGAUGAUAUUGGCUAUUCGCAGUGAGACUACUGAGUUUGACUGCACGUUCCCUUGAUCCCUAGUCAUUCGAAUCCUUGCUGUGUAUGUUGGCUUUAGUAGGUUCAGGUUCGCUGUUUGGAGUAGGAUGCACCUAGAUGGAAUUAUCGAUCUUGGUAGAAAAGAAGAAGACCUAUGUGAUUUACGAGAUUGAGUUCAAAAAAUCUUUGGCCAAAGCAAGUAUGAAUACUGAAAAAGAAUUUUCAUGGGAUUCACAAAUGAACUCGCAUCGAGCCAAUGUUACAUAAGACUGACGAUGGGGUUUGACGAGUUCUCCAUGACCUCCAUCAAGUCAAGACUCACGAUAGAAGGACUAAAUCAUACGAUAACUGUACCUAAAAGCU